AAAAAUAAAAGGCAAGGAAAAGGCCCAAAUAGAAAGGAGAAUGUGCAUCCCUUAAAUGGACCUCCCCCUACAAAAAACCUAGGCCCCACAUGCUAGGCCCAUGGGCUGUAUGAAAAAAAACAGGAGACACAAUCUAAAGAAACGUGUAACUCAAUUACAGUGCACAGAAAGGAACUGUGACCAGGCAAACUUAUGCCCAGCUCAGC